GAUGAACGCUGGCGGCGUGCCUAAUACAUGCGAGUCGAGCGAACGGACGAGAAGCUUGCUUCUCUGAUGUUAGCGGCGGACGGGUGAGUAACACGUGGAUAACCUACCUAUAAGACUGGGAUAACUUCGGGAAACCGGAGCUAAUACCGGAUAAUAUUUUGAACCGCAUGGUUCAAAAGUGAAAGACGGUCUUGCUGUCACUUAUAGAUGGAUCCGCGCUGCAUUAGCUAGUUGGUAAGGUAACGGCUUACCAAGGCAACGAUGCAUAGCCGACCUGAGAGGGUGAUCGGCCACACUGGAACUGAGACACGGUCCAGACUCCUACGGGAGGCAGCAGUAGGGAAUCUUCCGCAAUGGGCGCAAGCCUGACGGAGCAACGCCGCGUGAGUGAUGAAGGUCUUCGGAUCGUAAAACUCUGUUAUUAGGGAAGAAAAUAUGUGUAAGUAACUGUGCACAUCUUGACGGUACCUAAUCAGAAAGCCACGGCUAACUACGUG
rnacentral:rRNA from 1 species